GACGAACCGUGCGAACGUUGUUCGGAAUUACUGGGCGUAAAGGGCUCGUAGGUGGCCAACUAAGUCAGACGUGAAAUCCCUCGGCUUAACCGGGGAACUGCGUCUGAUACUGGAUGGCUUGAGAUUGGGAGAGGGAUGCGGAAUUCCAGGUGUAGCGGUGAAAUGCGCAGAUAUCUGGAGGAACACCGGUGGCGAAAGCGGCAUCCUGGACCGACACUGACGCUGAGGAGCGAAAGCCAGGGGAGCAAACGGG
rnacentral:rRNA from 1 species